rnacentral:misc_RNA from 1 species
AAAGUCAAAUAGCACGUGAAAUUGUUGAAAGGGAAACGAUUAAAGUCAGUCGUACCGAUGGGCAUUCAGCCUCUUGAGUGCGAUUACGUCGGGUGUUGGGGAGCUUAACCGCCCUCGCGCUUGGGUAUUUGUGCUCUACGGGUGUACUUGUCCGUAUGGUAGGUUAACAUCAAUUUUGGACAUCAUAAAAUGACGGGAGGAAUGUAGCUUCGAUCUCGUAUUGAAGUGUUAUAGCCUCUGGUAGAUGUGAUGACCGGGAUUGAGGAUUGCAACGAACCCUUCGGGGCCACCUGUCUGGCCUCUGGUGGUCGCUCUGGAGCUGAAAGCGUGCUUAUGGCUAUCAAAGUUGGCUGCCAAAAGGUUAGAACGGGUUGAAUUCGUUAAGGAUGUUGACGUAAUGGCUUUAAACGA